GAUCUAGGCUGAGCGGAGAACCAGA
rnacentral:piRNA from 1 species